rnacentral:rRNA from 1 species
GACGAACGCUGGCGGCGUGCUUAACACAUGCAAGUCGAACGGAAAGGCCUUUUCGGAGGUACUCGAGUGGCGAACGGGUGAGUAACACGUGGGUGAUCUGCCCUGCACUCUGGGAUAAGCCUGGGAAACUGGGUCUAAUACCGGAUAGGACCGCACUUUAGUGUGUGUGGUGGAAAGUUUUUUCGGUGUAGGAUGAGCCCGCGGCCUAUCAGCUUGUUGGUGGGGUAAUGGCCUACCAAGGCGGCGACGGGUAGCCGGACUGAGAGGUUGGUCGGCCACAUUGGGACUGAGAUACGGCCCAGACUCCUACGGGAGGCAGCAGUGGGGAAUAUUGCACAAUGGGCGCAAGCCUGAUGCAGCGACGCCGCGGGGGGGAUGACGGCCUUCGGGUUGGAAACUCCUUUCGCCAGGGACGAAGCGUUUUGUGACGGUACCUGGAGAAGAAGCACCGGCUAACUACGUG